UACGUAGGUGGCAAGCGUUGUCCGGAAUUAUUGGGCGUAAAGCGCGCGCAGGUGGGAUGUUAAGUCUUUUGUAAAAGUGCGGGGCUCAACCCCGUAAAGCGAUGGAUACUGGCAUUCUUGAGUGCAGGAGAGGAAAGCGGAAUUCCCAGUGUAGCGGUGAAAUGCGUAGAUAUUGGGAGGAACACCAGUGGCGAAGGCGGCUUUCUGGACUGUGUCUGACACUGAGGCGCGAAAGCCAGGGGAGCGAACGGG
rnacentral:rRNA from 1 species